rnacentral:sRNA from 1 species
GGCUCGGGCUGCGGGGCUCCGGCUGCGGGCGCUGGGCCGCGAGGCGCGGAGCUUGGGAGCGCAGCCCAGGCCGUGCCGCGCGGCGCCAUGAAGGGCAAGGAGGAGAAGGAGGGCGGCGCACGGCUGGGCGCUGGCGGCGGAAGCCCCGAGAAGAGCCCGAGCGCGCAGGAGCUCAAGGAGCAGGGCAACCGUCUGUUCGUGGGCCGAAAGUACCCGGAGGCGGCGGCUUGCUACGGCCGCGCGAUCAUGCAGCAGCACGAGCAGGCCCUGGCCGACUGCCGGCGCGCCCUGGAGCUGGACGGGCAGUCUGUGAAGGCGCACUUCUUCCUGGGGCAGUGCCAGCUGGAGAUGGAGAGCUAUGAUGAGGCCAUCGCCAAUCUGCAGCGAGGUUGGCUGACAAGCUGCCCGGUUGUGGGGCUCCUGGGGCC